GUGCUUGCUUUGGCAGCACAUAUACUAAAAUUAGAAUGAUACACAGUAGAUUGGCAUAGUUUCUGCACAAGGAUAACAUGCAAAUUUAUGAAGCAUUUCAUAUUUUU
ensembl:snRNA U6 U6 spliceosomal RNA